rnacentral:misc_RNA from 1 species
AAACAAGUUGACUACACUCUCUAUAUUCUUGCUUUAAGCACUAUGAAAAGUAUUUACUAACAACAUAUUUGGCCAAAAAGAAUAUAUUGUACUAACAACAUAAAGAUUUACAGAAAAUUGUAAAUUAAACUGAGUUGCUCAUUUCUCGCCGGAAAAGCUUCACAGAUGGUAUUGGUAUGCCAAUUUUGCCUUGCACCUUUG